GGUGUGUCUGGUCGAUCAAACAAUAGGGGCAAACAAGAGCUCCCCCACCAAACCCUAACUUGUGCCAAAUUGAUCAAAUUGGAGGUUCAAAUCAGUUCCAAAUCGAUUUUCAAGCACGAAAUUAUGAUCUCCUCUGAAAAGGGAUCAUAAGUUCUAAACGGGUUGUGAAUGAACUCUAUAGGAAAAGAAACCGGAGCGUCAAGUGGACAAGCCGGUGGUGACGCGCGCUUGAAAGGUAAAGAUGCACUUUAGACCUCGGAGGAUGAUCAAGCCAUGUCAAGAACCGAACACACCAAA
rnacentral:lncRNA from 1 species